GAUGAACGCUGGCGGCGUGCCUAAUACAUGCAAGUCGAGCGAACGGACGAGAAGCUUGCUUCUCUGAUGUUAGCGGCGGACGGGUGAGUAACACGUGGAUAACCUACCUAUAAGACUGGGAUAACUUCGGGAAACCGGAGCUAAUACCGGAUGAUAUUUUGAACCGCAUGGUUCAAAAGUGAAAGACGGUCUUGCUGUCACUUAUAGAUGGAUCCGCGCUGCAUUAGCUAGUUGGUAAGGUAACGGCUUACCAAGGCAACGAUGCAUAGCCGACCUGAGAGGGUGAUCGGCCACACUGGAACUGAGACACGGUCCAGACUCCGACGGGAGGCAGCAGUAGGGAAUCUUCCGCAAUGGGCGAAAGCCUGACGGAGCAACGCCGCGUGAGUGAUGAAGGUCUUCGGAUCGUAAAACUCUGUUAUUAGGGAAGAACAUAUGUGUAAGUAACUGUGCACAUCUUGACGGUACCUAAUCAGAAAGCCACGGCUAGCUACGU
rnacentral:rRNA from 1 species